CUACGGGUGGCUGCAGUGGGGAAUAUUGCACAAUGGGCGCAAGCCUGAUGCAGCCAUGCCGCGUGUAUGAAGAAGGCCUUCGGGUUGUAAAGUACUUUCAGUCGUGAGGAAGGUUCAUACGUUAAUAGCGUAUGGAUUUGACGUUAGCGACAGAAGAAGCACCGGCUAACUCCGUGCCAGCAGCCGCGGUAAUACGGAGGGUGCGAGCGUUAAUCGGAAUUACUGGGCGUAAAGCGCAUGCAGGUGGUUAGUUAAGUCAGAUGUGAAAGCCCGGGGCUCAACCUCGGAAUUGCAUUUGAAACUGGCUGACUAGAGUACUGUAGAGGGGGGUAGAAUUUCAGGUGUAGCGGUGAAAUGCGUAGAGAUCUGAAGGAAUACCGGUGGCGAAGGCGGCCCCCUGGACAGAUACUGACACUCAGAUGCGAAAGCGUGGGGAGCAAACAGGAUUAGAUACCCGCGUAGUC
rnacentral:rRNA from 1 species